rnacentral:rRNA from 1 species
CCUACGGGGGGCAGUAGUGAGGAAUAUUGGUCAAUGGACGCAAGUCUGAACCAGCCAUGCCGCGUGCAGGAAGACGGCUCUAUGAGUUGUAAACUGCUUUUGUACGGGGGUAAACGCAGAAACGUGUAUCUGUCUGAAAGUAACGGACGAAUAAGGAUCGGCUAACUCCGUGCCAGCAGCCGCGGUAAUACGGAGGAUUCAAGCGUUAUCCGGAUUUAUUGGGUUUAAAGGGUGCGUAGGCGGUCGGAUAAGUUAGAGGUGAAAGCCCGAGGGUCAACUUCGGAAUUGCCUCUGAUACUGUUCGGCUAGAGAGUAGGUGCGGUAGGCGGAAUGUAUGGUGUAGCAGUGAAAUGCUUAGAGAU